GGCUGCAGUAGGUGAACUGAGCCCACUGUAAAUCUGCCGGCUUCGCCUUCCCAGGUUCGAAUCCUGGCGCCGCCA
rnacentral:tRNA from 1 species